AGCUCGUGUCGUGAGAUGUUGGGUUACGUCCCGCAACGAGCGCAACCCUUGUCUUUAGUUGCCAUCAUUAAGUUGGGCACUCUAGAGAGACUGCCAGGGAUAACCUGGAGGAAGGUGGGGAUGACGUCAAAUCAUCAUGCCCCUUAUGCUUAGGGCUACACACGUGCUACAAUGGGUAGUACAGAGGGUUGCCAAGCCGUAAGGUGGAGCUAAUCCCUUAAAGCUACUCUCAGUUCGGAUUGUAGGCUGAAACUCGCCUACAUGAAGCUGGAGUUACUAGUAAUCGCAGAUUAGAAUGCUGCGGUGAAUGCGUUCCCGGGUCUUGUACACACCGCCCGUCACACCACGGGAGUUGGAGACGCCCGAAGCCGAUUAUCUAACCUUUUGGAAGAAGUCGUCGAAGGUGGAAUCAAUAACUGGGGUGAAGUCGUAACAAGGUAGCCGUAUCGGAAGGUGCGGCUGGAUCACCUCCUUUCUAAGGA
rnacentral:rRNA from 1 species